rnacentral:rRNA from 1 species
GACGUAGGGCGCGAGCGUUGUCCGGAUUUAUUGGGCGUAAAGAGCUCGUAGGCGGCUUGUCGCGUCGACUGUGAAAACCCGCGGCUCAACUGUGGGCUUGCAGUCGAUACGGGCAGGCUGGAGUUCGGUAGGGGAGACUGGAAUUCCUGGUGUAGCGGUGAAAUGCGCAGAUAUCAGGAAGAACACCAACGGCGAAGGCAGCUCGCUGGGACGGAACUGACGCUAAGGCGCGAAAGCGUGGGGAGCGAACAGG